UACGUAGGGCGCAAGCGUUAUCCGGAAUUAUUGGGCGUAAAGAGCUCGUAGGCGGUUUGUCGCGUCUGCCGUGAAAGUCCGGGGCUCAACUCCGGAUCUGCGGUGGGUACGGGCAGACUAGAGUGAUGUAGGGGAGACUGGAAUUCCUGGUGUAGCGGUGAAAUGCGCAGAUAUCAGGAGGAACACCGGUGGCGAAGGCGGUUCUCUGGGCCUUACCUGACGCUGAGGAGCGAAAGCGUGGGGAGCAAACAGG
rnacentral:rRNA from 1 species